AAACACCGAGCAAUUACUUACAUCUAGCUCCGCCUGGGUAAUACGAACAUAAGUUUAAAACCCGAAGGACUUGGCGGUGCUUAAUAUCCCCCUAGAGGAGCCUGUUCUAGAACCGAUGAUCCCCGUUAAACCUCACCCUCUCUUGCAGAUCCCGCCUAUAUACCACCGUCGCCAGCUUACCCUCUGAGGGAACCUAAGUAAGCAAAAAUGGCAAUGCCCAGUACGUCAGGUCGAGGUGUAGCGUAUGUCAGGGGAAGAAAUGGGCUACAUUCGCUAAUUGUAGCGAACUACGAAUAUUGCCUUGAAAAAGGCAAUUGAAGGAGGAUUUAGAAGUAAGCAGAAAAUAGAGCGUCUG
rnacentral:rRNA from 1 species